CUUAAGGUGCAGUGUCCGACAGCAAAUACAGAAUUCCAGCUUCCUGAAAUCAACUAACCAGGCUCAAGCACUCUAGGAUCAAAGACUAAUCAUUCAGAUGAGGAACUUUUUGACAUUCCCUAAGAAGAAACAGAAAAGUUCCUCAGCCUGGUGUGUGAAGACCUGAAGUUCCUCUUAUGUGUGACCAAAUCCACUGCAGCAGAAAUAUCCUCACAUCAGCUGUUUCCUGAUGCCAACAAAUGAUUUGGAUGGCACAUUCAACCUGUCUGCCAGGAACAGCCAGGGGAAAUACAGCAAAUACAUAAUGCUCUCCUGGGACCUGACCCUCAUCUUUUCCAGAGCAUUAACACACAAGAAAAUACACAAAUGCUGGUUGGAUUUUGGCCCCCAGUUGCUCAUUUCAGUGCCUGCUACGUGAUCCUUCAAAGGAAAGAAAAGCCUUCACUUGCACAAAUGAACUUGGACUACUGACACCCCAGCUGGUAGGAUACAGCGUAGAACAACAGCACUGUUCACCACAGGAGAAUCUGAGGAACAGAUUUCUGGAAAUCUGUUUGUGACAAUAGAAGGUGUUGGUCAUGGGGAGCCUCUUCCUGAUAACUGUGUCCUGGAAGUCGACUUGCGACACAGGAGAAGC
rnacentral:lncRNA from 1 species